CCUUCCGGUGAGCAUACGGCUUAAACGGACGCGGUAAACGUGCUAAGGUAGCUAAAUUAUGGCCUAUUAAUUGUAGGUCUUGUGAAUGGUUUGACGAGUUCCCGACUGUCUCUAGUUUGUUGAGGAGAACUUGAAUUGAAAGUGCAAAUGCUUUUAUGGGUUAGAAAGACGAGAAGACCCCGUGAAGUUAAGAAAUAGCGUUAAAUAAGUUUGAGUUUUGGCUGGGGCAGCAAAGAGGCAAAUUUAGACCUUUUUUAGACAGGUGUGUUACGACCCACAAAAGUGUGAUUAACAGAAGGAGUUACUCCGGGGAUAACAGCGUUAUCGUCCUGAUAGUUCUUAUUGACGGGCGGGUUUGCGACCUCGAUGU
rnacentral:rRNA from 1 species